rnacentral:rRNA from 1 species
GUCGUAACAAGGUUUCCGUAGGUGAACCUGCGGAAGGAUCAUUGACACCCGAUCCAUACCAACCCAUGCGAACAAAGCCCGUCGGGGGCGCGAAGCAGCGAGGGGUUUUCGGACCCGCGUAGCUGUGGAGCGACCUCUUUAUAUAUAAUUUCCAAACCACUCGAUCUCCAUCGAAAGCAUCUGAAUGCGGCGUUACGUGAGAGCGUAGGCCAAAACUAGAACCCAAGAACAACUCUUAACAAUGGAUGUCUUGGUUCUCGCAACGAUGAAGAACGCAGCGAAAUGCGAUACGUAGUGUGAAUUGCAGGGCUCAGUGAAUCAUCGAAACUUUGAACGCAUAUUGCGCUUGUUGGCAACUUCAAGCACGUCUGUCUCAGGAACGGUACCCAAAAACCUCAACCACCACACACACACAUGGCACAAGCUGUGUGUAUGCGCGGGGGGUUUGGAGAGUGAGCGUCAUGGGGCUGAUCUGGUGCCGAUCCGUAACCGGAUUGGGCCGAAGCCGCACGUCGGUCGAAAUAGAAGGCGCGGUAGCUCUGAGCCGAAGGGCCUAGUGAUGGCGAGCCGUGAUGUGCCAGCCUUCCCUGACGGGAGGAGCGGCAUCACCGUGAGCCGGUAGGCGCCCGAUUCUAAGGAGGCUGCAGGGGAGCUAGCGGCGAAAAGGAAAGAGGAAAAGCCGGAAGUAGCCUUUUGUGAAUCACGCGUUGAGUGUGAGGAAGGAGGGUGAAGGCAUUUUCUGGACUCGUUCUGAGAUCAGUCGAGAUUACCCGCUGAACUUAAGCAUAUCACUAAGCGGAGGAAAAGAAACUAACCAGGAUUCCCCUAGUAAUGGCGAAUGAACAGGGAAGAGCUCAAGCUUGAAUCUUCGGAAUUGUAGUCUAUAGUUGAUCACUCGUACAGACCCGGGUAUAAAUCCGUUCUUGGAACUGGGUGCCAGAGAGGGCUAGAGCCCCGUCUUUGACUCGGUGUAUGUGCGUGGCGAGUGUUUAACGGAGAGUCGGCUUGCUUGGGAAUGCAGGUCAAAAUGGGUGGUAAACUUCAUCUAAAGCUAAAUAUUGGCGAGAGACCGAUAGCGAACAAGUACUGUGAAGGAAAGAUGGAAAGCACUUUGAAAAGAGAGUGAAAAAGGGCCUGAAAUUGUUAAGAGGAUAAGUGGUUGGAGCAUAUCAUAUCGCGCGGGAUCAAUGCGGCCCCUGGGCCGCGGACAUGCCGUGCGGUUGGUCAGCAUCUAUUCGUGGCGGGGGAGAAGCCUUAGCCUGAUGGCUCCGGCCUGACGGAUGAGAGAAACCCUGUUGUGGAUAGAGGCACAAAGGGCGCGCCUAGCGGCCGGCCCUCCGUGCUUGGUAUUGCAGGUGGACAAUCCUUCUGGCAUUUAAACCUGUGGUGGCUUGACGCGGGGGAGCGCUGGACCGGCGUCCUAAAGAUGCUGGCACAAAUGGCUUCAACCAGCCCGUCUUGAAACACGGACCAAGGAGUCUAACACAUAUGCGAGUAGUAAGGUGGCAAACCUUGGAUGCGCAAUGAAAGUAACGUGGUGGGAUUCUUCGGAUGCACCAUCAACCGACUCGGAGCAUUUUGUGAUGGGUUUGAGUAAGAGCAUAUAUGUUGGGACCCGAAAGAUGGUGAACUAUGCGUGA